CCAAAGGCCAGUGCCCACACGACGAGAGGCUCCUCUCCUCAUCUAGAGCCCCAACAGACCUACACCCUAGCAAGGGAUCGGGCAAGAAACGUGAGAGAACAGGAAAUGCUUUCCCCUUUCACAAAAAGCUGAGGAGUCAGGAGGCAAGUCUUGUCACAGCAACAGGGCAAGAACUGAGAAAGAGAACAGGGAUUGUUCUGCAGAAGAACUGGUCACCGGGCUGUGACAUGAGCAGAAGUCUGUGGCAAAACUGAUUGCUGAACCUUGUCUGCCGAUACCUCCCAAACACAUGUAACCACGAGAACAUCUUCAUUCUGGAGCCAGCAUUGUUCCCUCUUUUUCCAGCAUUUCACAAGCCUUAAUGUUCCUAGCGUGUCUGGAAAGUAGAAACAACAAUGCUGCGACAAUGCUGGAGUUAGUUUCACUUGAUUUCCCAACAGCAAUCUUAUCCUGAGUUGUUUACAUCACUCUGCCUUGGCCCUCAAGGUUACUUAUUUCAGGAGGUUAAUGCUGCCCUGUUGAAACAGGUCGAUGAAAUGAGCCA